rnacentral:rRNA from 1 species
GAUGAACGCUGACAGAAUGCUUAACACAUGCAAGUCAACUUGAACUUCGGUUUGGGUGGCGGACGGGUGAGUAACGCGUAAAGAACUUGCCUCACAGCUAGGGACAACAUUUGGAAACGAAUGCUAAUACCUGAUAUUAUGAUUAUAUGGCAUCGUAUAAUUAUGAAAGCUAUAUGCGCUGUGAGAGAGCUUUGCGUCCCAUUAGCUAGUUGGAGAGGUAACAGCUCACCAAGGCGAUGAUGGGUAGCCGGCCUGAGAGGGUGAUCGGCCACAAGGGGACUGAGACACGGCCCUUACUCCUACGGGAGGCAACAGUGGGGAAUAUUGGACAAUGGACCGAGAGUCUGAUCCAGCAAUUCUGUGUGCACGAUGAAGUUUUUCGGAAUGUAAAGUGCUUUCAGUUGGGAAGAAAAAAAUGACGGUACCAACAGAAGAAGUGACGGCUAAAUACGUG